rnacentral:hammerhead_ribozyme from 1 species
CUACUACUGAGGAGUCGCACAAUAGGACGAAACGACCGUUCAGUGC